GACGAACGCUGGCGGCGCGCUUAACACAUGCAAGUCGAACGGAAAGGCCUGCUUUCCCUUGUGGAUUGCGGGUACUCGAGUGGCGAACGGGUGAGUAACACGUGAGUGAUCUGCCCCCAACUUGGGUAUAAGCCUGGGAAACUGGGUCUAAUUCCCGAUAGGACUGCAGGGUGGUGCCUGUGGUGGAACACGAUUUUCUAGUGGUUGGGGAUGAGCUCGCGGCCUAUCAGCUUGUUGGUGGGGUAAUGGCCUACCAAGGCGGCGACGGGUAGCCGGCCUGAGAGGGUGGACGGCCACAUUGGGACUGAGAUACGGCCCAGACUCCUACGGGAGGCAGCAGUGGGGAAUAUUGCACGAUGGGCGGAAGCCUGAAGCAGCGACGCCGCGUGGGGGAUGACGGCCUUCGGGUUGUAAACUCCUUUCGACCGCGAGGAAGCCACCUGGUUGGAAGGGUGGUGACGGUAGUGGUAGAAGAAGCACCGGCUAACUACGUG
rnacentral:rRNA from 1 species